UUUUCUGCAAAACCCUGUUUUUAAUCCUAACACUCUAUUUCCAAGGUUAAGUUUUCAAGCUGUGUUUUAAAUAUAUGUUUUAUGAGAGCUCCUAAGUGAGCCUAUGUUUUUAAGAAAUGUUUUUAACGUAUUUUAUAAACUAUGUUUUCACAAGCUUUUGUGCUAACUCUUUACAAGAGUUUCCCAACAAGCUCCCUAUGCAAGCUCUAUGUAAUAAAAUUCUGUACAAGCUCCCUUGUGAGCCUAACUCUCUAUGAGAGCUUUUUGUGAUAUGUCUCUGUGUAUGCUCCUUUACGAACCAUGUUGGAUAUUUUGGUAUACCAAAGGAUUGUGAGUACUCA
rnacentral:lncRNA from 1 species